rnacentral:rRNA from 1 species
CAGCCGUAAACUAUGCUCGCUAGGUGUCAGGCAUGGCGCGACCGUGUCUGGUGCCGCAGGGAAGCCGUGAAGCGAGCCACCUGGGAAGUACGGCCGCAAGGCUGAAACUUAAAGGAAUUGGCGGGGGAGCACAACAACGGGUGGAGCCUGCGGUUUAAUUGGACUCAACACCGUAAACCCACCAGGGAAGACUGUUACAUGAAGGCCGAGAUGAAGACCCUGCAUGACUAGCUGAGAGGAGGUGCAUGGCGUCAGUGACU